AUACGGAGGUUGCGAGCGUUAUCCGGAUUUAUUGGGUUUAAAGGGAGCGUAGGUGGGAUAUUAAGUCAGCUGUGAAAGUUUGGGGCUCAACCUUAAAAUUGCAGUUGAUACUGGUUUCCUUGAGUACGGUACAGGUGGGCGGAAUUCGUGGUGUAGCGGUGAAAUGCUUAGAUAUCACGAAGAACUCCGAUCGCGAAGGCAGCUCACCGGGCCGGAACUGACACUGAUGCUCGAAAGUGCGGGUAUCAAACAGGAUUAGAUACCCUGGUAGUCCGCACAGAAAACGAUGAAUACUCGCUGUUUGCGAUACACUGUAAGCGGCCAAGCGAAAGCGUUAAGUAUUCCACCUGGGGAGUACGCCGGCAACGGUGAAACUCAAAUGAAUUGACGGGG
rnacentral:rRNA from 1 species